UUUACUUCUCGUGUCAGCCUAAUGAGGUCAUGUGGAAUUGAACAGCUCCUGAAAAAUGGUACUCAUGUCAAAUUGCUUUUCUCUUACAAGUCAAAUUCGGGAGCAAAUGAAAAAAUAGAUUUUGCCAUCUGAUUAUAUGUUGAGUUAACCCCAAAGUCAGAUUUAAUUGGCCAAGAACACAUAUUAACAAGGACAGUGUAAUAUGUAAGAUUCUUCAAGACUGCUUGGCCUGAAUGUCUUCUGGGAAAUCCUUAAGAAUAACAUUUUCAAAUAAUGCUGAAAACGUAAUUAGACAAGAAUUUUGUUGAGCUUUCGACCCUGAACUCUGGCUCAAGAAUCCUGGUCACUGAGAGAAGCUGUGGUGUCAGGUGGAUGUGGUAUGCAUAUGUCCUACAUCUCACUAGUGACAGUACACUUCACCCCUUCAUUCUGCUACGUUAGUUUAGGUUUUUGGUUUUCUUGGCCUGGUCCUUCCUUACGAUUGUAGGGAGAGUGACUCUAGGUCUCCCUUCUGGCUUUUAAUGGCACCUGUACAAAUAGGUAUUUCUAUUAGCAGGUAGCAAUCUGUGUCCUGGCAAUUCCAACCCUCCUAAUUAAAUACACCAAUGAAAGUUGUCAGAAAAUUAAGUAGUGAAAGAAAGAAAGAAAGAAAGAAAGAAAGAAAGAAAGAAAGAAAGAAAGAAAGAAAGAAAGAAAGAAAGAAAAGAAAAGAAAGAAGAAAGAAAGAAAGAAAAGAAAAGAAGAAAGAAAGAAAGAAAGAAAGAAAAGAAGGAAGAAAGAAAAGAAAAGAAAGAAGAAAGAAGAAAAGAAAGAAGAAAGAAAGAAGAAAGAAAGAAAAGAAAGAAAGAAAAGAAAAGAAAGAAGAAAGAAAGAAAGAAAGAAAAGAAAAGAAAGAGAAAGAAAGAGAAAGAAAGAAAGAGAAAGAAAGAAAGAAAGAAAGAAAGAAAGAAAGAAAGAAAGAAAGAAAGAAAGAAAGAAAGAGACUCUAUAAAUUGUAAAGCUAGUUUUGUAGGACUAUUUUCAAAUGCACUAAGGAUUGUUUCUAUACAGUAUUAUUGGUUGAAUUAUGUCCCACCAAAAUUAUGUUAACUUUUAGUCCCCAGUACUUCAGAAUGUGACAUUACUUUAAAAAGAGUCAUUGGAGAUACAUAUAGUUAUUUUUGAUAUGGUCAUAUUGUGGUGGGCCCUUCAUAAAUAUGCUAUCAGAAAUGGAGAAAGGACACAAAUUCCUAAUUCAAAGGACGCAUUUCUAUCUCCUGUAGAUAAACAAAGUGUACUGGGGCCUGGAGAAUAAAACUGACCAGCAAGCUACCUGAGUCGCUUCAGAGCACCGAGAAAUAAGACUUUGUAUGGGUUGAAAGAACAAGGAACAUGAGGUCCAGCUGAGCAUCAGUCUUUGGGAAUCUCCAAGCUUGACCAUCAACCACUGAAUGAGGAAGGACUUAGGCAGAUGUUGGUUCUGUUUCAAGCUGUUGUGUCAUAAAGGAUUUUGUGAAAGGAAUUAACUUCACCCUACAUGAAAAGGGAUCCUGGGAUGGCCAUUUUCCACACAAUGGAGUGGAUGUUAUGCUGUGUUUCUUUUCCAAUAAACAGUGAGGAGCCAUCGGAGAUGGAAAUGCAAUGAAAUGGAUAGUGGAAAGAAAAACCCUGAUGAACUCCUGGAGUAUAGCCUACAUGUGAGAGCUAAAAUAACGGAGCCUCUGAACAAAGCCCAGGAGGAUAACUUCAGACUCUAAGAUAUUUCCCAAGACAUCCAAAUAGCCAAUGAAAAACAUAUGAGAAGUUACUCAACAUCGUUACUCAUCAAGGAAAAUCUACAUUUUAACCGCAAUACCACCUCAAGAUCUACCAAUAUGAUUAUAAUAUAAAGUGUGACAACACCAAGUAUUGCCAGGAUUUACAGCCACUGGAACUUGGACUCACAGUUGCGGGAGCAGAAACAGAAAGGGGCAGUGUUUCCUGAAGCCAAACCUAUGUGAUUCAGCACUUGCACUCUGAGGAAUGUACCCAAGGGAAGAGAGUGCGAAAGUCCACAAAAGACAUUGCAGAAACGUUCCUAAAGUCUUUAUCAGUAACAGUCUCCAAUCUAGAAGAACUCAUAGAUUGAAAAAUGAAUUGUGAUAGAUUCAUAUACUAGAGAACUUUUCUGCGGUAAAAAGGAACAAGUUAUGGCCACACCAACAGCACAAGUGAACUUCAAAAAACAUGUUGUCAAAGGAAGCCGAAAAGUACAUACUGUAUGAUGUCAUUCAUGUGAAGUUUAAGACCAGGAAACGGAGCCCUGGUGGCUGCUGGUACUGGGGGAGGAUGGGGUGUGGAAGUGACUGCAAGGAGCGUGAGGAAGCCUUUGGGAUGUUGGAGGCAGCGACUCUCUGGACUGGGUAGCAGUUAGAGGAGGAUAUGCGUAUGUGUAUAUUCAUCUAGGUGUAUAUUUAAAUUCACUUUAUACACAGGAAAUUCACUUUGCUGCAUUUAAUAUUAUCUACUCUUUAAAUGAAUGAGUUAAUUAAUGAAUAGGACUUACGGAGUCUGAAAAUCAGAAUUUUGCCCCCCAUCUUCUUCCCUAAAGCACUGGUGUCUGAGAACCCCUGAUUUCUUAUCUCUAGAGGAUGAUUGUGUGACUAUUUGCUCUGGAUGCGUAAGGCUUGGUGCUGCAUAUUGGACACAGAGCACAUCUCCAAGACUUCAACAAACGGCAACUGGCAGAGUAAUUACUGUCAUCAGUAGUAUUAUUGUUAUUAUUUGUCUGUUGACUGUCAUCAGUAGUAUUAUUGUUAUUAUUACUAUUGUUAUUACUAUUAUUAUUAAUAGUAUUAGUAGGAAUAUCUUCUUGGAUAUGGGCUCCUUUUUCUGCCUAGUUCUCUGUCUUAAAACAAAACAAAAAACCUCGCAGAGGGUUUCUCAGAGAAAGGAUUUACAGGCCUGACCUAGAAACCUCCUUGAUAGAAUUCACUGAAGGUUUGGUGGUUUUAUGUUGUUCAAAAAGGAAGCUUUCGAAGGACAAAGUCCCUUGCAGGUCAUGACCCUUGAGCCCUGCAAGCCCUUCCCCAAAGCAGCGCUUGCCCGGAUGAACAGACCACAGAGCAGAGCGCAGGUGCUGGAACGCCCACCGCCCCCCCCCACCCCAACCAGCCCGGGGGACAGUUUAUGCUCAGGGCUGUAGCACCGUGUGAGGAACUGUAUAAUCCUGCUGGCAGUAAUAACUGGCAGCAUCCUCAGCCUCUACUGUGCUGAUUUUGAGGAUGAAUUCUGUGUCAGACUGAAUCGCAGAGAACCGGUCUGGGACACCAGACAUUAGGUUAUCAGCAUCAUAGAUGAGAAGCUUAGGAGCCUGGCCUGGUUUCUGCUGAUACCAGCUCAAGUAAUCGCUGAUGCUCUCGUUGGCCCUGCAGGUGAUGGACACGCUCUCUCUCAGGGACACAGUGAGGAAGGCCGGAGACUGGGUCAGCCCAGCGUUCCCGCUAGCGGCUGGGAAGGAAGCGAAACACAAAGUCACCAUUGUCUACCAGGUCCCACUCCACUCUCCUCCCAGAAGAUUCUGGCGGCCCUGGUCCCCUAACUUGAGAGCACCUGGGUCUCCGAGGGAAGGGGAGACCCCGGGUCAGGGAUCCACAGAGCCCUGGGGAGAUCCCACAGUCAGGAGGAGAGGAGCUCCCCCCCCCCAUCUCGGGGAUGUCCCUGCACUCCCCUCCUCACCUGGGAGGCAGGCCAGCAGAAGGCAGAGGAGCUGGGUCAGGACACCCAUGUUCGAUCCAAGGCCCUGCCUGAAGCUCUUUUUUGCCCCAGAUGUCUGAGCAGCCUAUUUAUGAGGAUUCUGAAGAGCAGAAACGGGCCCUGGGGGAAACAUGCAAAUCACUGAGGGGUUGGGCAGGUCUGGCUGCAGCUGCAGAACCAGUGCCUCCUGGGGAAUCACACAAACCCAGGAUUCACGUCCAGUCCCAGAGGAGCUUCUCCCAGGUGUUUGUCAGAAAAAACUCUCUCUCUGGGGCGCCUGGAUGGUCAGUCAGUUAAGCGUCUGACUCUUGAUUUCAGCUCAGGUCAUUAUCUCAUGGUCCUGGGAUGGAGCCCCGCCUCAGAUUCCAAGCCCAGUGGGGAGUUUGCUUGAGGAUUCUCUCCUUCUCUCUCUGCUCCAGCCCCCCCUUUCCACUCGCUCUCUCUCUCUAAAAUAAAUAAAUAUUUAAAAAAAAAGAAAAGAAAAAAUCACCUCCAAUUUUUCUGAUUCCUAUAUGUCCUCAUUGCUCUGAAUUUUGUGCAUCUUCUCAAAACAAGAAAAUAAUAGAUCUGGGAUGACCCUCCAAGACUUAAAUUUUUGUAUGAACAUAUACUUUUCCCUAUAGAAUUCAUGAGCUCUCAUUUUCUAGGGAUGGGUGUGAAAUACCAGUUCUAUCUUGGUAUGUUACUUAGACUAAAUAACCAUGAGUCAUGGACAAUAAGACGAGAGAGUAUCUCCUCGGAUCAAAUCCAUGCAGUGCUUCUUCAGGCAUUAUGCAGUCGAGAAGGCUUAUACAUUGUUAGAGGCUAUUUCCAUGGUUAAUAUUAUUCUUUAUUUUGGAGGUUAAUGUCAUUUGGGUAUUAACUUUCUCCGCUUCCUAUUUUUACUGCUUCUCAUUCUUCUCAUCAGUUUUUGCUGAUCAUAUUCUCAUGCCUUAGAGUAACGAUAAGUUCUCUUUUGUCUGACACAGUCCCAAUGUGAUCUUUAACAUUUAAUAGCACCCCCUCUUUGCUCUCACAAAUAACCCAGUUUGGGUGAAAACUUAUAUGACAGCCCUCUAUUCUGAUCUUUUUUAUUCCCAGUUUACUAAGACAUUUCUUAACUAAAAAUUAGUAAUGAAUUGUUAAAUUUUAUCAAAUAUAUUUAUAACUAUUAUCGGCAUGAUCAAACACAUGUAUUUAUAUAUUUUUAAAAAUAUAUAUUUAUGGGCACCUGGGUGGCUCAGAUGAUUAAGCGUCUGCCUUCGGCUCAGGUCAUGAUCCCGGGGUCCUGGGAUCGAGUCCCACAUCGGGUUCCCUGCUCCUUGGGAGCCUGCUUCUCCCUCUGCCUCUCUCUGUCUCUCAUGAAUAAAUAAAUAAAAUCUUUAAAAUAAAAAAAUAUAUAUAUAUUUAUAAAAUAAAAAAAUAAAAAAUAUAUAUUUAUAGUUACAUCACCAUAUAUAUACAUAUAAAAUAGUCACAGAACAUGAAUAUAUUAUAUAUUAUAUAUACACCUAUAUAUUUUAUAUAUAUAUACACACACCUAUAUGUAUAUUUUUCUAUAAAUAAGGUAAUUUUUAACUUUUUAUUCAAAUAUUAUUUUGUCUUAAUUUCUUCUUAAUAUCUUUAUGAACAGAUUGCUAAAUAUUCAUACUGAGGUCAGUUUUAAUAAAAUGCAUCUAAGUAAGUGUGUAGGUGCAUAAAUAUUGUAUUUGUCAACUUUUGCAUGAUGAUUGAUAAUAAACCACUCACAACCAAGUGGCACACAAUACUAAGCAUUAACUUUAAUAUCCACAGAUGUUCAUGUUAACAAUGGUUUGGCUGAUCCAGGCAGGGCUCAGCCAGGUGGUUCUGCUACAUGCCACUAUGAUGCUCUCCAGCCUAUGGAUAGUGUUUCAUCUGGGACCAAGAUGGAAGGGCAGUGACUACUCAUUUUUCUUUCUUUCUUUUUUAUUUUUUAAGUAA